rnacentral:lncRNA from 1 species
CUUUAGUUCAAACGUCUUUUCUUAGGUAUGGGACUUGACUUGCUAGCUUACGGCGCAUUUAUUGCUUGCACAGGUCCUUUAUACUAGUGACAAGACUUGACCUUUAUGCUUGUGACAAACGUUCCAUCAGUCAUUCGAAUAAGAUCUCUGAGCAGGCGAUCUCUUGGGAGAAGUGAUAGUGGAGGAAGCUCUUUGUGGUUAAGAGGCUCGUGCAUCAACUUCAAGGCUUCGACCAUUUGACAAAUACUUCCACUUGAGGACCUCAGCUACAUCCAACAGGUUCCAUGCCUCGGGGUCAUGGGCCUCGGUAGUUGGACUUCGGUAGGUUUGCGUACAUCGGAUCGAGGAGCCUCGGCUUGAAGCACUUUGGAUAUAACCCACCUCGGCAAUGUGUGCCACCUCGACAGGAAUGCCACGUGGAUCAGGAUGAGUGGGCCAUUGGCCCAGGUGGGUAGGACAGGUGUGACAACACGCAACAAUAGUCCCCCAAGUCCAAGUAUAAUCAUUAAUGUAAUGCGUGAACUUUAAUGGAGUAAAAGUUGAAAGAAUUUUUGAACCCCAAAUAGUAGUCCCCCAAGUCCAAGCAUAGAUAUUUAUAUCAUGGUUGGAGUUUGAGAAGUGUUGCUGUGGGUGAGCGAUGAAGUAGGCGAGGUGUUUGAACUCUGAAGAUGAGCCGAGGUGGUUGAGAAGCCGAACCUACGAGGUUUUGAUGCUGAAUGGCGAAGAGGAAGCCGAGGUGGUUGAGGAACCGAACCUGCGAGGUUUGAUUGCUGAAUGGCGAGGAGGAAGCCGAGGUGGUUGAGUAACCGAACCUGCGAGGCUUGAUUGCUGAAUGGCGAAGAGGAAGCCGAGGUGGAUGAGGAACCAAACAUGCAAGGCUUGCCGAGGUCCAAUGGUAAUGAUUGUGCGUUGGUUGUUGUGCCAAUGAUUUGAUGUUUUGUGCUUGUUUUCGAGGAAAGGUAGCUGAAUCGUUACGACUUCCAAGGCGCUGGUGCCGUCGAAUUAAAAAUGUAAUUAUGAGGGCAGCUGGCGUUUCUAGAAGCAGACGCGUUGGAGAGGUGCGUGGGAGGCACGCAUAGAUAUGAGGCGUAG